CCUACGGGAGGCAGCAGUGGGGAAUAUUGCACAAUGGGGGAAACCCUGAUGCAGCGACGCCGCGUGAGUGAAGAAGUAUUUCGGUAUGUAAAGCUCUGUCAGCAGGGAAGAAAAUGACGGUACCUGACCAAGAAGCCCCGGCUAACUACGUGCCAGCAGCCGCGGUAAUACGUAGGGGGCAAGCGUUAUCCGGAUUUACUGGGGGUAAAGGGAGCGUAGACGGGAGGGCAAGUCUGGAGUGAAAGGCGGGGGCUCAACCCCCGGACUGCUGUUGAAACUGCCAGGCUGGAGUGCAGGAAAGGUAAGUGGAAUUCCUGGUGUAGCGGUGAAAUGCGUAGAUAUUAGGAGGAACACCAGUGGCGAAGGCGGCUGACUGGACUGUAACUGACGUUGAGGCUCGAAAGCGUGGGGAGCAAACAGGAUUAGAUACCCUUGUGGUC
rnacentral:rRNA from 1 species